rnacentral:rRNA from 1 species
AAUCAACGCUGGCGGCGUGCCUCAGACAUGCAAGUCGAACGCGAAAGUUCCCUUCGGGGGGCGAGUAGAGUGGCGCACGGGUGAGUAACACGUAGGUAAUCUACCUUUGGGUGGGGAAUAACAGCCGGAAACGGCUGCUAAUACCGCAUAAUGCAGCGGCUCGACAUCGAGACAGUUGUUAAAGCGGGGGAUCGCAAGACCUCGCGCCUAAAGAGGAGCCUGCGGCGGAUUAGCUUGUUGGUGAGGUAAUGGCUCACCAAGGCAUCGAUCCGUAGCCGGCCUGAGAGGGCGGUCGGCCACACUGACACCGACAU